CAACCGCCGCCGCGGAGAGAUCCCGAAGAGAACUCACAGGCUUCAAACCCUCAGAAACUAGCCUAACAACAUCUGAAGAACCAGGUGGUGGGGCAAACCGGUGGCCAAACCAUGAGCUAGCAGCAGUGCAGCACGGCGCAAGGACGGAGACCAAAGUGCAGGUGGAGCGUCCCUCUGUGCUUCAACCAGCUUGGAGUAGUCGAAGGAGUCACCAGAUUCUUCAUAUUCAGCAUUGAGUUCAGCAUCAAGGGUUGUUUGUGCUAAUACCCUUGCCCGGGAGCUCUGGCGGUUUCUGCUGGAAGAACUUGAAGCAGGCCUUGAGGAAGACAUCCCCUGCCUCAGAAGGGUGACAGACAUUAGAAGAUUGAAGACAGUACAUACAAAGCUACGCCAGGGGAAAGAAAGAAGAAGCUGAACUCUUUCACUGCCUGCAAUUAAAAAGAAAAGAAAACAAAGAGCUUCUAAAGACACUUCCCAUGCCUCCGCAACCCACCAAAUCUACUACUUCAAGAUUUUCAAAGUGGUGAGUUAGGUAAUUUAGCUGGGUCACUUCUCAAAUCAGUAGUAACAUUAGUGUAACCAGAUGAUAUUUUCCAAAAAAAUGUACCGCUUAAUAAAAGUUGCCAAACAGUUGUAAUUUCCAUUUCUUCAUUUUUGCAUUUCUUACUCCGCUAUUCCGAGUAUUUUUA